GAACCUGCGGAAGGAUCAUUAUCGAAUUAUAAGCGAGGGUUGUCGCUGGCCUCGAAAGAGGCNUGUGCACGCCCGAGCUCUUAAAUCCACAACACACCUGUGAACCCACCGUAGGCCUUUGGGCUUAUGUAUCAUAUAUUCUGAAUGUGUCAUAGAAUGUUCAUGUUGCCUUAAAACGCAAUCAAAUACAACUUUCAACAACGGAUCUCUUGGCUCUCGCAUCGAUGAAGAACGCAGCGAAAUGCGAUAAGUAAUGUGAAUUGCAGAUUUUCAGUGAAUCAUCGAAUCUUUGAACGCACCUUGCGCUCCUUGGUAUUCCGAGGAGCAUGCCUGUUUGAGUGUCAUUAAAUUCUCAACCCCACCGAUUUGCUUCGGGGGGAUUGGACUUGGAGCGUGCUGGCGAAGGUCGGCUCCUCUUUAAAUGCAUCAGUGGAGAGAAACUUGCCCCAGUGUGAUAAUCCUGUUGCGCUGUGGUGGGUGAAAGUCUGCUUCCAACCGUCCUCCGGGACAUACACCAUCUUAUUUUGACCUCAAAUCAGGUAGGACUACCCGCUGAACUUAAGCAUAUCAAUAAGCGGAGGAAAAGAAACUAACAAGGAUUCCCCUAGUAACUGCGAGUGAAGCGGGAAAAGCUCAAAUUUAAAAUCUGGCGGUCGCUAUGGCCGUCCGAGUUGUAAUCCGGAGAAGUGUUUUCCGCGUCGGACCGUGUACAAGUCUUCUGGAACGGAGCGUCAUAGAGGGUGAGAAUCCCGUCUCUGACACGGACUGCCGAUGCUUUAUGUGAUACGCUCUCGAAGAGUCGAGUUGUUCGGGAAUGCGGCUCAAAAUGGGUGGUAAAUUCCAUCUAAAGCUAAAUAUUGGCGAGAGACCGAUAGCGAACAAGUACCGUGAGGGAAAGAUGAAAAGCACUUUGGAAAGAGAGUUAAACAGUACGUGAAAUUGUUGAAAGGGAAACGUUUGAAGUCAGUCGCGUCGGCCGGGACUCAACCUUGCUAUCUUGCUUGGUGCACUUCUCGGUUGACGGGUCAGCAUCAAUUUUGACCGACGGAUAAAGGCCGAGGGAACGUGGCAUCCUCCGGGGUGUGUUAUAGCCCUCGGUUCGCAUACGACGAUUGGGAUUGAGGAACUCAGCACGCCUUUAUGGUCGGGGUAUCUACCCACGUUAACGUGCUUAGGAUGCUGGCAUAAUGGCUUUAAGCGACCCGUCUUGAAACACGGACC
rnacentral:rRNA from 1 species